rnacentral:lncRNA from 1 species
AUGCAUAUCUACAACAGAUCAGAAGAUUUUUGGAACAGCAGUGCUAUUGAUGUGGAUCACAAUGCAACUCAAUCCCAGACAAGCAUCUCAUCCAUCGUCGUGUCAAACCAUCCUUCUGAUCCUCAAAGUAGUGAUGCCAUUCAGACUGAUCCUCUAGAGUUUAUUAAUCAUGGUCUUCUUCUAUGGAAACAAAUACGACAACAGAGGUCAACAAGCUGUGAAUGUUGA